GCUCCGUUGGUGAACCAGCGGAGGGAUCAUUACCGGGUGCAAACUCAUAACCCUUUGUGAACCUAUAUCUGUCGCUUCGGCGGCUUGCUCUCGGGCGAGCCCGCCGGUAAUAUCAGUAUCUCUGUUUGAACCCGAUGAUACUUCUGAGUGUUCUUAGCGAGCAGUUAAAACUUUUAACAACGGAUCUCUUGGCUCUA
rnacentral:misc_RNA from 1 species